rnacentral:lncRNA from 1 species
UCUCAGAAGUCAUGGCUACGUAAUCAUUAUGUUUAAUUCAUACAGUACCCAGCUGAUACUCCCUUCCUCAUUGUUCUCACAGAAACACGAAGGGGCAAGCAUGGAGAAGAAACAUCAUGAACAGGAAAGUGACCUGAAAGGGAGAAAAUUUCCUUCGUGAAUUUUUUACACAAAUAGAAAGAACAGAUUAGUUAUGGCAGAAAAAUGAAUAAGUGACAAAGAUCAAGCUCAAGAAAAUCUCCCAGGAUCUCUUUAUUUUUUUAGAAUAAAGAGAUAAAAAUUAUUAGAGAACAGGUGAGACAUAAAAAACAGAUAUUUACUACUCAAAAAAAUAUACGUAACAGCGAUUUCACAAGGAGAGAAGAGACAAGCCAGAAUUGUAGCAUUCAGCAAUUUAGCACAGACUUUAUGAGAAAAGAGUGCAAAAUCAGAGAUACCCAGGCUUGAAUCUGAGCUCUGGCGCUUUUAACUGUGAAAACUUGGACAAUUUCCUUCUCUAUUUCAGUUUUUUGGUUUUAUGAAAUGAGUUAUAAUAAUAGUCUAAACUUUCAGGGUAUUUGGGGAAAUUAUGUGAGGUGAUGUUUGUAAAAUAAUUUGCAUGAGGUUAACAGGUAAUAAGCAUUCAAUAAAUAUCACCUGUUAGGGGCUAAACUGUGUCCCCCCAAAAUUCCUAUGUUGAAGCCCAAACCCCCAGUACUCAGAAUAUGACUAUGUUUGGAGACAGGGUCUUUGAAGAGGUAACCAAGUUAAAAUGUGGCCAUUAGGGUGGGCCCGAAUCCAGUCUUACUGGUGUCCUGAGAAGAAGAAAUGUGGACGCACGGACACCAAGAAUGAAUGCCCAUGCACAGAGGAAAGAUACAGUGGGAAGGCACCAUCUGCAAGCCAAGGAGAGCAGCCUCAGGAGAAACCAAACCUGCCAGCACCUUGAUCUUGGACUUCAGUCUCCAGAACUAUGUGAAGCUGAGGAUCAGGAUGCUCUUGGUUUCCCAUACUGAUAAAGGCUCCUGGACGAACCGUGCAGAGGAAGCCAAAAUCCACAUUCCUUUUCAGCCCUGUAACAUCGGCUGGCCGGCUACAGAGACCAUCACUAUCCAAACUGUGUACAUUCUUUGACAGCCCUGAGGACCCCCAGCCCCCAGCAGAGCAGCUCCAAGGAACAUUCAGCAGCAACUUAGAACCAAGGCAGGAUAAUGCCAGAUGGCUAAACAGAAGGACGGGUCCAAACCAGAAAGGUCCAAGAUGGCAAUGGCGUGCUGUGCGAAAGGAAACGUGUGCAAAAGGUCCUGGCACAAGCUCCUAAAACACUUGGAGUUCCGUGAGUGAUAAAAGGUCUUUUAUUAUUCAUAAGGAGCCUUUCCAAGCACACCUGAGUUUAUGCUAAUGAGAUGACUUAGGAUGGGGCCUCUGGACAGCCUCACGAUGAGGCUCGUCACCAGAAAGACCAGGUGAUUAGAGGGCUGGAAUUUCCAGGCCCACUAGCUGACUUCUGGGAAGCCGGUUAAGCUUUAGAAAAACUCUUGAAUAGUGAGAUUUGAAGAGCUUCUGGGUUGGUGAAGGCAUCCACAUGCUGGGAAGACGGCACGCCCCAGUGCCUUGGGAACAGAAGCUCCAGUGCUCGGAACCCUUCCAGAACUCACCCUAUGUGCUUCAUCUGCCUGUCCAUCUGGUUAGUGGCCUAACAUGGCAAAGCAUCAUGAUGGAAGGAACUUGGGUCCCAGGAAAAUCAUGCAGAUUAGAGCCAUCCUGCUGAUCAGAACUGCUGCCUCGGAACUGUUACAUGAGAGAGAACCAGCUAUCUGUAAGCCACAUAUUGCUGGAUAUUUAUGAUAUAGCAACUUAGCAUUUUGUACCCUAACUAAGGCAAGGGUCUAGAGGUCUUGGAAAAGAAUUAGUCAUCCCGCAGG